rnacentral:rRNA from 1 species
CAGCAGCCGCGGGAAUACGAAGGGUGCAAGCGUUAAUCGGAAUUACUGGGCGUAAAGCGUGCGUAGGCGGUUUGUUAAGUCUGCUGUGAAAUCCCCGGGCUCAACCUGGGAAUGGCAGUGGAUACUGGCAAGCUAGAGUGUGUCAGAGGAUGGUGGAAUUCCCGGUGUAGCGGUGAAAUGCGUAGAGAUCGGGAGGAACGUCAGUGGCGAAGGCGGCCAUCUGGGACAACACUGACGCUGAGGCACGAAAGCGUGGGGAGCAAACAGGAUUAGAUACCCCAGUAGUCCCUGUCUCUUAUAA